AGCCAUGUAAUAAGCACAUAGCGAGCUAUUUUUUCGCCUUUUACUAAAGAAUACCGUGUGUUUGUUACAUUGAGUGGCAUACGCCUAUUUUUGGAGAGGUGUUCUUUUUUUGGAUGCCU